AGGAUAAACGCUGGCGGCGUGCCUAAUGCAUGCAAGUCGCACGGAGUGUCUCUUCGGAGGCAUUGAGUGGCGAACGGGUGAGGAACGCGUGGACAACCUACCCCCGGCGUGGGGGAUACCCGCCAGAAAUGGCGGCUAAUACCGCGUACGGUCGUCGAACGAAGGGUUUGACGAAGAAAGCAGUAAUGCGCGCUGGGAGGGGUCUGCGGCCGAUUAGCUUGUUGGCGGGGUAAUGGCUCACCAAGGCGAUGAUCGGUAGCUGGUCUGAGAGGAUGAUCAGCCACACGGGGACUGAGAGACGGCCCCGACUCCUACGGGAGGCAGCAGCAAGGAAUUUUCCGCAAUGGGGCAACCCUGACGGAGCAACGCCGCGUGACGGAUGACGCCUCUUGGGGUGUAAACGUCUUUUGCCGAGGGAGAGAAUGGACGGUACUCGGCGAAUAAGGACCGGCUAACUACGUGCCAGCGAGCCGC
rnacentral:rRNA from 1 species